rnacentral:rRNA from 1 species
UUCCGGUUGAUCCCGCCGGACCUGACUGCUAUCGGAUUGAUACUAAGCCAUGCUAGUCUUUGUAGUAAUACAAGGCAUACGGCUCAGUAACGCGUAGUCAACCUACCCUAUGGACGGGGAUAAUCUCGGGAAACUGAGCAUAAUACCCGGCAGACCACUUAUCCUGGAAUGGUUAGUGGUUAAAAUGAUUCGUCGCCAUAGGAUGGGACUGCGGCCUAUCAGCUUGUUGGUGAGGUAAUGGCCCACCAAGGCGAUUACAGGUACGGGCUCUGAGAGGAGAGGCCCGGAGAUGGGUACUGAGACAAGGACCCAGGCCCUAUGGGGCGCAGCAGGCGAGAAAACUUUGCAAUGUGCGAAAGCACGACAAGGUUAAUCCGAGUGAUUUCUGCUAAAGGAAUCUUUUGUUAGUUCUAAAAAUACUAGUGAAUAAGGGGUGGGCAAGUUCUGGUGUCAGCCGCCGCGGUAAAACCAGCACCUCAAGUGGUCAGGAGGAUUAUUGGGCCUAAAGCAUCCGUAGCCUGUUCUAUAAGUUUGCGGUUAAAUCUAUACGCUCAACGUAUAGGCUGCCGUAAAUACUGUAGAACUAGGGAGUGGGAGAGGUAGACGGUACUCGAUAGGAAGGGGUAAAAUCCUUUGAUCUAUUGAUGACCACCUGUGGCGAAGGCGGUCUACCAGAACACGUUCGACGGUGAGGGAUGAAAGCUGGGGGAGCAAACCGGAUUAGAUACCCGGGUAGUCCCAGCUGUAAACGAUGCAGACUCGAUGAUGCAAUGGCAUAGAGCUAUUGCAGUAUCGCAGGGAAGCCGUUAAGUCUGCCGCCUGGGAAGUACGUACGCAAGUAUGAAACUUAAAGGAAUUGGCGGGGGAGCACCACAAGGGGUGAAGCCUGCGGUUCAAUUGGAUUCAACGCCGGA